GACGAACGCUGGCGGCGUGCCUAAUACAUGCAAGUCGAACGCAGUGGGGACGGGUGAGUAACACGUGGGUAACCUCCCAUCAGAGGGGAUAACACUUGGAAACAGGUGCUAAACCGAUACUGAUGGAUGGACCCGCGGUGCAUUAGCUAGUUGGUGGGGUAACGGCCCACCAAGGCCACGAUGCAUAGCCGACCUGAAGUGGUGAUAGGCCACACUGGGACUGAGACAGGGCCCAGACUCCUAUGGGGAGCAGCAGUAGGGAAACUACGGCAAUGGACGAAAGUCUGACCGAGCAACGCCGCGUGAGUGAAGAAGGUUUUCGGAUCGUAAAACUCUGUUGUUAGAGAAGCGGUAGCUAACCAGAAAGCCACGUCUAACUACGUGCCAGCAGCCGCGGUAAUUC
rnacentral:rRNA from 1 species